AUCCAGCCGACAAGUUCCGAACAGGACGAAAUGCACAUCCUGGAU
rnacentral:hammerhead_ribozyme from 1 species